UUGAGUCUCCAGUAAAGCCAUGGCACCACAAACUAACCGUAAAAUUUUGUAAGCUGCGUUGAUAUAAACUGUUUUGUGGGUCUUUAUGACACUACUGUCAAGGUGGCUCUGUCCAAAGGAAGAUGUAAGAAUCAAACUAAUUUAGUUAGCUUAAAAGUGCGUUUAUCAUUAGCUACAGGUAGCUAUAGGAAGGGGUCUGUAGGUGCACAGUUAACUGGAAAGUUACAACAGAAUUACAUCUAAGCUGUCUUGAGCCAGUGAUGAACUGUCAUCAUCAUCAUCAGUGGAGACAGGAAAUCUGCAAUUUUGUGUUGCUUAAAACCCUGAGAUGCCACAUUGUUUGGUUGCCACAUUACUACUUCUGAACUGAUUUGUCUGCAUAUUUGUAUAGUUAGCAGUGAAAUUACGGUGCAGUGCUAAGCCUACCUCUCCUUCUCUUAUACCAAUACAUACAUGUACACAGCGCUAGCCAAAUGUUGGACUUUCACUGCUGCCUGAGCAGACUUCACACUGAGCUGUAACAGUCUGGUCCCUACCAGGAUCUCUCAAGCACAGUAUCCUAUGUGUAUACACGCUAAAAUACACACAUAUACAAACAGAAAAGCAAAGACUAGAGUGAUGUAUCAAGCAGCGGUCCAGAAUCGGCCAAUCAGACAGACGGGCAGGCCUUAAAUAGCUGCUAGAGGCAGAAGACAAACAAGGCAAAGGAACCUCUGCCCCGCUUUAUAUAAGCGCACACACACACACACACACACACACACACACACAGAACAUGUCUAAGCCACAGCUGGGAAACAUUAACUCGAUCAGGGUAGUCAGACCCACCAGUUAACGCAGGGAACAGCACGUGUAGACUCACAAAAAAAACAUACAGACCAGCACAUGGGAGCUCGAUUCCCUCCUUUUAUAUCAUGUAUGUUUUCCUUUUGCCUACUAAAGUACACACUCACUGUG